GACGAACCGAGCGAACGUUGUUCGGAAUCACUGGGCUUAAAGGGCGCGUAGGCGGGUGCUCAAGUCCGUGGUGAAAUCCUCCGGCUCAACCGGAGAACUGCCUCGGAUACUGGGCGUCUCGAGUGUGGUAGGGGUAUGCGGAACUAUCGGUGGAGCGGUGAAAUGCGUUGAUAUCGAUAGGAACUCCGGUGGCGAAGGCGGCAUACUGGACCACCACUGAUCGCUGAUGCGCGAAAGCCAGGGGAGCAAACGGG
rnacentral:rRNA from 1 species